CGGGCGGUCAGAUGGAUACAAACCGUGGGACAACCCAGACGACCUCAUCAGCCACAAGACUGAGUUCUGGAUCCGAAGUCUCCUCUCCUCCACCCUCACUCCACUUCUCUUCAUCUUCGGGUUCCCAGCUAACAUCCUUAACGCCGUCGUCUUCUAUCGACAAGGACUAAGGGAGAGAAUCAACUUGUGUCUGUUCAUACUGUCGUUGGCAGACCUGGUGGCCCUCACCGUGCAGUUUCUCCUCAAUACAGAGAUGGCUUAUAGAAAUCUAUUGAAAGUGGAGUCUAACUUCUUUCUGGAGUAUUUCGUGAGUUUCACAGGGUUCCUGUGGGUCUCCCAGUUCCUGACCUGCGUGAUCGCGUGUGAGCGGUGUUUCUGUGUGUUCAGUCCCUUAAAGGCGCAGAAAUACCUCAAGACGUCCACCAUGGCAUGGGUCAUCUUGGUUACAAGUGUAUUUCUAGUGGGCGGGAUAACUCUCACUGCUGGCUACAAACACAUCUUCAUCUGUGUGUUUGAUCC